rnacentral:tRNA from 1 species
GAGCCUGUAGCUCAGCCCGGUUAGAGCACCGCUCUUAUAUGAGAUUAUUCCGCUAGGAAUGAUUUUUCAAGCAUCACUAAAAUUGCUAAGAAAGGCGGGGGUCCGCGGUUCAAAUCCGCGCAGGCUCA